GAUCAUGGCUCAGGAUGAACGCUGGCGGCGUGCUUAACACAUGCAAGUCGAGCGAAGCACUUAGGAAAGAUUCUUCGGAUGAUUUCCUAUUUGACUGAGCGGCGGACGGGUGAGUAACGCGUGGGUAACCUGCCUCAUACGAGGGGGAUAACAGUUAGAAAUGACUGCUAAUACCGCAUAAGACCACAGCACCGCAUGGUGCGAAGGGGUAAAAACUCCGGUGGUAUGAGAUGGACCCGCG
rnacentral:rRNA from 1 species